rnacentral:tRNA from 1 species
UCAUGAGCUAACGGGCCUCGAUCCCAUAAAACUUUAAUUAACAACUAAAUGUCCAA